GACGAAGGGCGCGAGUGUUAUUCGCUUUGAUUGGGUGUAAAGGGUAGGUAGGCGGCCUCCGGUUUUUCUGAACUAAAGCGCGGAGUAUUCCUACGCGAAGUUCUUUCAAUAAAGGAGUCUUGUGUUGGGGAGAGGUCUAGGGCAAGUUCAUUGAGUAGGGGUAGAAUCCUCAAAAAUGUGAACGAACGUCGUCCGGCGAAGG
rnacentral:rRNA from 1 species